GACGUAGGGCGCGAGCGUUGUCCGGAUUUAUUGGGCGUAAAGAGCUCGUAGGCGGCUUGUCGCGUCGAAUGUGAAAACUCGGGGCUCAACCCCGCGCUUGCAUUCGAUACGGGCAGGCUCGAGUUCGGUAGGGGAGACUGGAAUUCCUGGUGUAGCGGUGAAAUGCGCAGAUAUCAGGAGGAACACCGGUGGCGAAGGCAGGUCACUGGGCCGCAACUGACGCUGAGGAGCGAAAGCAUGGGGAGCGAACAGG
rnacentral:rRNA from 1 species